GACAAUUGUGUAUAUAGUAGAUUUCAUAUAAUUGCAAGAAUUUGUACCUUAGUGGCUUAGUCACAUUUAAACGAUGCAAAAGGAAAUAGUGCUUCUCCUUUACAAAAAGCACUAUCCCAUUAAAAUGAAAAAAAGCAAAAUAUUGAAAUGUAAUUUAGAAAACUAGUAAUCAAGGUGUAGCCGUAAUCUUUGCCAUGAAUGCCUACAUGAUUCAGAGGAUGAACAACAUAGUAAUCAUACAUCCUACAAAUUGUUUUCUCCCAAUCAAUCAAACAAAACAAUAAUCUUACACGCAGACAUCUCAUUCCCCAUAAAGUGAUUCCAAAAGUAAAUUAGAAUCCAUGAACCCAUGUACCCAACACCAACUGUUAUGCUGGAACAACCACCACAAUUGACAAAAGUCAUCAUAAAAUAUAUGCUGCCUCUGAACAAUACUAGUUCCAGAAAGCAGGCACUAUGUUUUUUAAAUAAAACUGAAUAACUUGCCGUGUUAUUGCAUGUAACACAUGGAAUGUAUAAAAAACACAGGCAGAUAAUAUGAUUACUGCUCUAAUCCAUUCAGUUCACUCAAAAGAAGGGAAAAAAAAAG
rnacentral:misc_RNA from 1 species